rnacentral:rRNA from 1 species
UACGGAGGGGACUAGCGUUGUUCGGAAUUACUGGGCGUAAAGCGCACGUAGGCGGAUUUGUUAGUCAGGGGUGAAAUCCCGGGGCUCAACCCCGGAACUGCCUUUGAUACUGCUGGUCUGGAGGAUGGGAGAGGCGAGUGGAAUUCCGAGUGUAGAGGUGAAAUUCGUAGAUAUUCGGAGGAACACCAGUGGCGAAGGCGGCUCGCUGGCCCAUUUCUGACGCUGAGGUGCGAAAGCGUGGGGAGCAAACAGG